AUGGUUAAGCUAAUAAGUGCGCACGGAGGAUGCCUAGGCGCCAGGAGCCGAUGAAGGACGCGACGAACAGCGAUAUGCUUCGGGGAGCUGUAAGUGAGCUUUGAUCCGGAGAUUUCCGAAUGGGGAAACCCAGCUGCGGUAAUGCGCAGUUACCCUCGACUGAAUACAUAGGUCGUUGGAGGCAUACCAGGGGAACUGAAACAUCUAAGUACCCUGAGGAAGAGAAAACAACAGUGAUUCCGUCAGUAGCGGCGAGCGAAAGCGGAUUAGCCCAAACCAGGGAGCUUGCUCCCUGGGGUUGUGGGACGUCUCACAUGGAGUGAUAAAAGAGGACAUUAGGCGAAGAGGUCUGGAAAGGCCCACCAAAGAAGGUAAAAGCCCUGUAACCGAAAGUGUCCUCUCUCCGAGACGGAUCCCGAGUACCGCGGGACACGUGAAACCCCGUGGGAAUCCGGCAGGACCAUCUGCCAAGGCUAAAUACUCCCUGGCGACCGAUAGCGAAGCAGUACCGUGAGGGAAAGGUGAAAAGCACCGCGGGAGCGGAGUGAAAAAGAACCUGAAACCGUGCGCUUACAAGAAGUCAGAGUCCGAUCUAGGGAUGAUGGCGUGCCUUUUGUAGAAUGAACCGGCGAGUUACGUUCACGUGCAAGGUUAAGCUGAUGAGGCGGAGCCGAAGGGAAACCGAGUCUGAAUAGGGCGAAUAAGUACGUGGUCGUAGACCCGAAACCGUGUGAUCUACCCCUGUGCAGGGUGAAGGUGCGGUAACACGCACUGGAGGCCCGAACUCGUGAGCGUUGAAAAGCUCUGGGAUGACGUGGGGGUAGGGGAGAAAUUCCAAUCGAACUCGGAGAUAGCUGGUUCUCCCCGAAAUAGCUUUAGGGCUAGCCUCGAGGUAAGAGCAUCAUGGAGGUAGAGCACUGAUUGGGUGCGGGGCCCGCCAAGGGUUACCAAGUCCAGUCAAACUCCGAAUGCCAUAGAUGUAUACUCGGGAGUCAGACGGCGAGUGCUAAGAUCCGUCGUCAAGAGGGAAAGAGCCCAGAUCAUCAGCUAAGGUCCCCAAGUGUGUGUUAAGUGGGAAAGGAUGUGGAGUUGCGAAGACAACCAGGAUGUUGGCUUAGAAGCAGCCACCAUUUAAAGAGUGCGUAAUAGCUCACUGGUCGAGUGACUCUGCGCCGAAAAUGUAACGGGGCUAAACACACCACCGAAGCUAUGGCAUGACACUUAGGUGUCUUGGGUAGGGGAGCGUUGAAUGCGGGUUGAAGUCAGACCGGAAGGACUGGUGGACUGCAUUCAAGUGAGAAUGCCGGUAUGAGUAACGAAAAGACAGGUGAGAAUCCUGUCCGCCGAAAGCCUAAGGGUUCCUGGGGUAGGUUCGUCCGCCCAGGGUAAGUCGGGACCUAAGGCGAGGCCGAAAGGCGUAGUCGAUGGACAACAGGUUGAAAUUCCUGUACCACCGUAAUCCGUUAUGAGCGAUGGGGGGACGCAGGAGGGGAACGACGCGAGCCGAUGGAUGUGCUCGUCCAAGCAGUGAGAGGGNNNNNNNNNNNNNNNNNNNNNNUGUAACCUUGAGCUGUGAUGGGGAGGGAAAAUCAUAGUACCGAAGGUCAUGUACCCACGCUGCCAAGAAAAGCCUCUAGCCAGGAGAAGGUGCCCGUACCGUAAACCGACACAGGUGGGCGAGAUGAGAAUUCUAAGGCGCGCGGAAGAACUCUCGUUAAGGAACUCGGCAAAAUGACCCCGUAACUUCGGGAGAAGGGGUGCCUCGGUAGGGUGAAUAGCCCGAGGGGGCCGCAGUGAAGAGGCCCAAGCGACUGUUUAGCAAAAACACAGGUCUGUGCGAAGCCGUAAGGCGAAGUAUACGGGCUGACGCCUGCCCGGUGCUGGAAGGUUAAGGGGAGCGGUUAGGGGCAACCCGAAGCUGUGAACCGAAGCCCCAGUAAACGGCGGCCGUAACUAUAACGGUCCUAAGGUAGCGAAAUUCCUUGUCAGGUAAAUUCUGACCCGCACGAAUGGCGUAACGACUUGGGCGCUGUCUCAACGAGAGAUCCGGUGAAAUUUUAGUACCUGUGAAGAUGCAGGUUACCCGCGACGUGACGGAAAGACCCCAUGGAGCUUUACUGUAGCUUGAUAUUGAACUUUGGUACGGUCUGUACAGGAUAGGUGGGAGCCUAUGAAGUGGGAGCGCAAGCUUCCAUGGAGGCGCCGUUGGGAUACCACCCUGAUCGUAUCGGAGUUCUAACUCGCUGCCCUCAUCGGGCAGGAGGACCGUGUCAGGCGGACAGUUUGACUGGGGCGGUCGCCUCCUAAAAAGUAACGGAGGCGCUCUAAGGUUCCCUCAGCGCGGUUGGAAAUCGCGCGCAGAGUGCAAAGGCAUAAGGGAGCUUGACUGCGAGACCUACAAGUCGAGCAGGGACGAAAGUCGGACUUAGUGAUCCGGUGGUACCGAAUGGAAGGGCCAUCGCUCAACGGAUAAAAGCUACCCUGGGGAUAACAGGCUUAUCUCCCCCAAGAGUCCACAUCGACGGGGAGGUUUGGCACCUCGAUGUCGGCUCAUCGCAUCCUGGGGCUGAAGUAGGUCCCAAGGGUUGGGCUGUUCGCCCAUUAAAGCGGUACGCGAGCUGGGUUCAGAACGUCGUGAGACAGUUCGGUCCCUAUCUGUCGCGGGCGUAGGAAAUUUGAGAGGGGCUGUCCUUAGUACGAGAGGACCGGGAUGGACGCACCGCUGGUGUACCAGUUGUUCCGCCAGGAGCACCGCUGGGUAGCCAAGUGCGGAAGGGAUAAGCGCUGAAAGCAUCUAAGCGCGAAGCCUGCCUCAAGAUGAGAUUUCCCAAUUCGUAAGACCCCUGGAAGAACACCAGGUUGAUAGGCUCGGGGUGGAAGCGCGGUAACGUGUGGAGCUGACGAGUACUAAUCGGUCGAGGGCUUAUCCUAA
rnacentral:rRNA from 1 species